rnacentral:rRNA from 1 species
ACAAGCAGUGGGAGCCUCUUAAUGGGGUGACUGCGUACCUUUUGUAUAAUGGGUCAGCGACUUAUAUUCUGUAGCAAGGUUAACCGAAUAGGGGAGCCGAAGGGAAACCGAGUCUUAACUGGGCGUUAAGUUGCAGGGUAUAGACCCGAAACCCGGUGAUCUAGCCAUGGGCAGGUUGAAGGUUGGGUAACACUAACUGGAGGACCGAACCGACUAAUGUUGAAAAAUUAGCGGAUGACUUGUGGCUGGGGGU